AGUGAACGCUGGCGGUAGGCCUAACACAUGCAAGUCGAACGGCAGCACAGUAAGAGCUUGCUCUUACGGGUGGCGAGUGGCGGACGGGUGAGGAAUACAUCGGAUUCUACUUUUUCGUGGGGAUAACGUAGGGAAACUUACGCUAAUACCGCAUACGACCUACGGGUGAAAGCAGGGGAUCUUCGGACCUUGCGCGAUUGAAUGAGCCGAUGUCGGAUUAGCUAGUUGGCGGGGUAAAGGCCCACCAAGGCGACGAUCCGUAGCUGGUCUGAGAGGAUGAUCAGCCACACUGGAACUGAGACACGGUCCAGACUCCUACGGGAGGCAGCAGUGGGGAAUAUUGGACAAUGGGCGCAAGCCUGAUCCAGCCAUACCGCGUGGGUGAAGAAGGCCUUCGGGUUGUAAAGCCCUUUUGUUGGGAAAGAAAAGCAGCAGGUUAAUACCCCGCUGUUCUGACGGUACCCAAAGAAUAAGCACCGGCUAACUUCGUG
rnacentral:rRNA from 1 species